GGGUCGUUAGCUCAGUUGGUAGAGCAGUUGACUUUUAAUCAAUUGGUCGCAGGUUCGAAUCCUGCACGACCCACCG
rnacentral:tRNA from 3 species